rnacentral:rRNA from 1 species
CCUACGGGGUGCAGCAGUGAGGAAUAUUGGUCAAUGGACGAGAGUCUGAACCAGCCAAGUAGCGUGAAGGAUGACUGCCCUAUGGGUUGUAAACUUCUUUUAUAUGGGAAUAAAAUGUUCCACGUGUGGGAUUUUGUAUGUACCAUAUGAAUAAGGAUCGGCUAACUCCGUGCCAGCAGCCGCGGUAAUACGGAGGAUCCGAGCGUUAUCCGGAUUUAUUGGGUUUAAAGGGUGCGUAGGUGGAGUGUUAAGUCAGUUGUGAAAGUUUGUGGCUCAACCGUAAAAUUGCAGUUGAAACUGGCAGUCUUGAGUACAGUAGAGGUGGGCGGAAUUCGUGGUGUAGCGGUGAAAUGCUUAGAUAUCACGAAGAACUCCGAUUGCGAAGGCAGUUCACUGGACUGCAACUGACACUGAGGCUCGAAAGUGUGGGUAUCAAACAGGAUUAGAUACCCUGGUAGUC